AAUAAAUCAAAAUGAAAUAAACACUAAUACUGUUGAGAGAAAUGAACUGAAUUUAAAUUCAAAUAUGAAAACCAAAAUAAUUUUAAACAACCAAUGCCAGCAAAACAAAACAAUUAGUAACAGACAAUAUGCAAUGAAAGAACGGAAAGGAAAAAAAGCACAACAACAUAAAACGAAACAAAAUAAUAAAGAAAGCAAACCAGGAACAACCAACAACUCAACCGAAUGCAACAAAUAGAAUAUAUACAUAUAACAAAGAAAUAUGAGCGGGUCCAACAGAGCAACAGCGGUCCUACAGCGUCACCACAGCGAUCUUGCAGCCAUUAUAUUCCAGACGCCAUCGAUCAGGCAACACCUACAAUCACAUGUGAAAGAGGAAAGAAAACACCAUACCGGUGUCACACUGGGAGGGAAAGCGUCCUACUAUAAAGCUGUGCACGCUCCGCCUAAGACAAGAUUUACUGCGUUACAUGGGCAAAAGGCAACGAGUCAGAUGAAGGGUGACAACCGGGAAGUGGGAGGUAUCGAAGCCGCCAUGGCAGACCAGGACAAAGCAGCUUCCGUAACUGUGGAGGAUUACCGCAGUUACGUCGAUCAGCUGCUAUUCUGGAAAGCCCAGCCCGGCAUUCGGGCCCAAGAGGGAGGAUUCCCCGGCAUGGAGACGGGUGAGCCGGAAUUGGGAUAUUCUGCACCAGCUGUCUCUCGAGGAGGGCGCGCACCUCGCGAAAGCGGUGCGCGAAAAUUUCCGGCAGCUGGCCGAGCUCCGGGAGGAGCGCUACGUCGCGCCUAGAGAGCCGGGGACGAUCCUUUCGCCGUCCGUCUUUCCGGACGUCGCGCCGCCUCCUGCCCUGUUUUUGCCUGAUCGUCUGCCUCUCUGCCCGUCACCCUGUCCGUGCGCCUCAUCCGCAAUCCACGAGCGUGACACAGUGAUAUUGGAUCACCUUUUUUGUAGAAUUUUAUUUGGUAGCAGCCAUUGUUUAACACUGCUUAAUAUGUUAUAAUUGCAUUUAUUAAUGCAUUUAGAAGCAGCACUUUGUUUUCUUAAGUUGUACAAGCUGCAUUCAAUGCAAAAAUCCUUCCAUCCCAGAGCAUUUAUGGGACGCAGUCUAAACACUCAUCAUUCAUGAUGCAAAACGCAAAGAAUAUGAAAUAAAUUUUCUCCAAAAUCACUGUAAGAGAUUUUAUCCUACCUCACUGCUUUUAUUAAUGAAGGACUCUUCCAUUAUAGAUGUGUUAUAUUCACAAUUUUCAAAUGCUGGAUGCUUUGUUAUGAAGCUACUACUAAUAAAUUGUUUCAUAAAUCGGAA